rnacentral:rRNA from 1 species
UACGGAGGGUGCAAGCGUUAUCCGGAUUCACUGGGUUUAAAGGGUGCGUAGGCGGGUGUUUAAGUCAGUGGUGAAAUCUCCGGGCUCAACCCGGAAACUGCCGUUGAUACUAAAUGUCUUGAAUAUUGUGGAGGUGAGCGGAAUAUGUCAUGUAGCGGUGAAAUGCUUAGAUAUGACAUAGAACACCGAUUGCGAAGGCAGCUCGCUACACAAUGAUUGACGCUGAUGCACGAAAGCGUGGGGAUCAAAC